AAGUCGUAACAAGGUUUCCGUAGGUGAACCUGCGGAAGGAUCAUUAACACGUGUUCCACGUAUCAACAACCGCGCACUGUUUUCAAUUUCUCCCUCCACACGAAUGAGUCGGACUCUGCAGAAGAGAGAAGUGGGAAUUUCCUUCGGGAGAUUCUUUUCUUCUGCGGACCACUGAAGUUUCGGCUUCGACGACUGUAUUGUGCUGGUAGGCUAAGUCUGCCUCUGGGGUUCACCACCUCUGAUUCCAGAGUCGGGCGCAACAUUUACACGACAUUCACCCCUUUUUGCUAGUUGACUUGAUGAAGUGUGUAUCGUGGGCUUCGGCGCGCGACGCACACACGUUUAUUUAUUUGAACGACACCAAUACAACUCUUAGCAAUGGAUAUCUAGGUUCUC
rnacentral:misc_RNA from 1 species